rnacentral:lncRNA from 10 species
AUAACUACCAUGAGUAAUGAGAGCUGACUACAUCUUGAGGUGUUACCAGAUCUACUGAGAGAAGGACGCAGUAAUUCACACUGAAAGACAGUAGACCUGUACUAUCUCAAAAAUCGGCAUAACAAGAAGAGUUUUAUUUAUUAUUUUUAAAUGAAAGUCUACCUUGUCACUGCUUUAAAAAAAUAUUGACAAAUUUAAAGUUGAUUUUUAUAUUGGGAGUUCUGGUUUAAGAUGGUGUCAGAAUUGGGAUCCAAAGUAGAGCUUCUAAUGAUCCCCAUGAGCACUGAGUGACCAUCCGAGGUACCUGCCAGUCUUACUGUGUCCUUUGGUCUCUUGGAGCAGCUGGGGACUAUGAGUCUCCGGAUUCCGGGAUCUAAAUGGGUAGUCAUGAUGAGGUAUGAAGACAUUUUCUAUACCAUUUUCUACGCCUAUACCAGCCAGAAUCAAGUCCAACAUGGCUGCUUCCUCCUCUGCUUUUCCUGUUUGCCUCCUGGCUAUUUUGGGAUGGGUUGGAUUCUCCAGAUAUAGUCUUCAUGGCUCUGUUCUCUGUCCUUAUGGAUUCAGAAAGGCCUUGAAUUUCAUAAUCCUCUUGGGUCCCCUGUGGCUACCUAAGACCUAGAAUGCCUAGGGGAAGACAUUAGAAAGGCUACCUGUGUCAAUUUCAAAAUUAUUUUCAGUAAUUUAAAAUUUUAGAGUCAUGUUAUGUAAAAUUAAGUAAUAGAUAAUUAUAAAAUGUCUGAGUCAUCUGUAAGUUGAUAUUGAAAUGUAGAUAUUAAACAUGAGUUUAAGUCUAUAUACCUUCACAUGUUAUUUUUACAUGAUAUAGAAAAGCUAAAUAGAUCUGUCAAUAAACAAUAAUUUGAAGAACUAUUUUUCUUAAAAAAUAUAAAAUGGUUUUUAUCUACAAAUACUGAUAUAAAACAGUUCAAAAUUACUUUCUAGGUUUUUCACUAAAAAAUAGAGAUAAUAAAAGUUAAAAACUACUAGAUAUGAGACAAUUCUGUAUACAGAGUGUAUAAACAAAACCAAGAUAUGUGUUCAAUGGGGAAAGUUAUAAAGGCAUAAAAAUGUGUGUUUAAAAUGUUGUCUGGUUUAAAGUUACUUAAAAGUUUCAAGUUGAAAGAGUAAUAAAAUAGAUACAACACAAUAAACAAAGAAAGUUGGGGAAAAAUGUAAAACAAAAGGUUUAUGGAAAUCUUGUGUGGUUAAAAGAUGACAGAUUUGGUACAUUUAUUUAUAAGGUUUUAUUAAAAUUAAUUUUAGUUUUGAUAAUACACUAAUACAAAAAGAAAACUUGGUUUUCUCUUUUGAACAAAAUUUUUUUGUAGUUUUAAUAACACAUGGUAAAGUAUUUUCAUUCACCUUUUGAGUAAACUGCCAAAAGAGUGAAAAAGACAGAGGAAAGAAGAGACAGAUUCUGUCUCAUGCUGUCUUAGGUCUUUUGUUUGGAAAACUGGGUCUUUUUUUAUCAGAGUACAGGUUUUGGCCUUUAAAAAUCUUUUAAAAUUAUCACUUUGGUUAAAUGAACAACUAUUGUUUUAUGGUGACCAGUGAUCCUAUUUUGUUCAAGUGUUUUAAACCUUUAAUGUAUUUGAUAGGCUUCCCAAAAUCAUAUUUCAGCAUCAAAAUUAAGUCUUCUUUGGCCUCUAACUUUGAGAUGCUAAAGAGGGCCACUGAAGCCCUCUGUAGGGAGGUAAGCAGGAUUAUUUGACAUGUUAAGUUACAUGGGAAGCAUUGUCAAGGAAUAAUGUUUAACCUUCUUCAGGUUAUAUUUAAUGAAUGUCAUUAAUAUAUGUUCCAAAAUUGUAUGGGAUUUCUAAAAUUCUAAUAUGUCUGAGUAUGCACUAUAAAUCACACUUAUGGUUAUAAUGUUGUUAUUGUAGA